AGUAGUUUGAUCCUGGCUCAGAACGAACGCUGGCGGCAGGCUUAACACAUGCAAGUCGAACGCCCCGCAAGGGGAGUGGCAGACGGGUGAGUAACGCGUGGGAAUCUACCCAACUCUACGGAAUAACUCAGGGAAACUUGUGCUAAUACCGUAUACGCCCUUCGGGGGAAAGAUUUAUCGGAGUUGGAUGAGCCCGCGUUGGAUUAGCUAGUUGGUGGGUAAAGGCCUACCAAGGCGACGAUCCAUAGCUGGUCUGAGAGGAUGAUCAGCCACAUUGGGACUGAGACACGGCCCAAACUCCUACGGGAGGCAGCAGUGGGGAAUAUUGGACAAUGGGCGCAAGCCUGAUCCAGCCAUGCCGCGUGAGUGAUGAAGGCCCUAGGGUUGUAAAGCUCUUCACCGGUGAAGAUAAUGACGGUAACCGGAGAAGAAGCCCCGGCUAACUUCGUG
rnacentral:rRNA from 1 species